UUUGGGCAUAUGAUGAAUUAAAAUUAGUGUAAAUGGGUAAUUUGCAUCUGAAUUUUAUUUGAUGUUAAUAUCACCUUGGAGAACUGAUGCCCAAA
rnacentral:snoRNA from 1 species